AGAGUUUGAUCAUGGCUCAGAACGAACGCUGGCGGCGUGCUUAACACAUGCAAGUCGAACGCGAACGAGUUCUUCGGAACUUUAGUAGAGUGGCGCACGGGUGAGUAACGCGUAAGUAAUCUACCCUCGCAUCUGGGAUAACCCACCGAAAGGUGUGCUAAUACCGGAUACGUCCAAGUUAAUAUCUUUUUUUUAGAGAAAGGUGGCCUCUGAUUCAAGCUACUGUGCGGGGAGGAGCUUGCGUACCAUUAGCUAGUUGGUAGGGUAACGGCCUACCAAGGCGACGAUGGUUAGCGGGUCUGAGAGGAUGAUCCGCCACACUGGAACUGAAACACGGACCAGACUCCUACGGGAGGCAGCAGUGAGGAAUAUUGCGCAAUGGGGGCAACCCUGACGCAGCGACGCCGCGUGGAUGAUGAAGGCCUUCGGGUUGUAAAAUCCUGUCAGAUGGGAAGAAGUGUGUAGUACUUAAUACGUGCUACAUUUGACGGUACCAUCAAAGGAAGCACCGGCUAACUCCGUGCCAGCAGCCGCGGUAAUACGGAGGGUGCAAGCGUUGUUCGGAAUUACUGGGCGUAAAGCGCGCGUAGGCGGCUAUAUAAGUCAGAUGUGAAAGCCCGCGGCUCAACCGUGGAAGUGCAUUUGAAACUGUAUAGCUUGAGUACUGGAGGGGGUAGUGGAAUUCCCGGUGUAGAGGUGAAAUUCGUAGAUAUCGGGAGGAAUACCGGUGGCGAAGGCGACUACCUGGCCAGAUACUGACGCUGAGGUGCGAAAGCGUGGGGAGCAAACAGGAUUAGAUACCCUGGUAGUCCACGCCGUAAACGAUGUCAACUAGGUGUUGGAGUGGUUAAUCGCUUCAUUGCCGGGGCUAACGCAUUAAGUUGACCGCCUGGGGAGUACGGUCGCAGGAUU
rnacentral:rRNA from 1 species